rnacentral:rRNA from 1 species
UACGGGGGGGGCAAGCGUUGUUCGGAUUUACUGGGCGUAAAGGGCGCGUAGGCGGCUUAACAAGUCACUUGUGAAAUCUCCGGGCUUAACUCGGAACGGCCAAGUGAAACUGUCAAGCUAGAGUGCAGAAGGGGCAAUCGGAAUUCUUGGUGUAGCGGUGAAAUGCGUAGAUAUCAAGAGGAACGCCUGAGGUGAAGACGGGUUGCUGGGCUGACACUGACGCUGAGGCGCGAAAGCCAGGGGAGCAAACGGG